rnacentral:rRNA from 1 species
AUUCAAUUGUCAGAGGUGAAAUUCUUGGAUCUAUUGAAGACUAACUACUGCGAAAGCAUUUGCCAAGGAUGUUUUCAUUGAUAAGGAACGAAAGUUAGGGGAUCGAAGACGAUCAGAUACCGUCGUAGUCUUAACUAUAAACUAUGCCGACUAGGGAUCGGACGAUGUUAUCUUUUGACGCGUUCGGCACCUUUCGAGAAAUCAAAGUGCUUGGGCUCCAGGGGGAGUAUGGUCGCAAGGCUGAAACUUAAAGAAAUUGACGGAAGGGCACCACCAGGGGUGGAACCUGCGGCUUAAUUUGACUCAACACGGGGAAACUCACCAGGUCCAGACACAGUGAGGAUUGACAGAUUGAGAGCUCUUUCUUGAUUCUGUGGGUGGUGGUGCAUGGCCGUUCUUAGUUGGUGGAGUGAUUUGUCUGCUUAAUUGCGAUAACGAACGAGACCU